GCCUUCGAGUUGUAAAGCACUUUCAGUCGUGAGGAAGGUAGUGUAGUUAAUAGCUGCAUUAUCUGACGUUAGCGACAGAAGAAGCACCGGCUAACUCCGUGCCAGCAGCCGCGGUAAUACGGAGGGUGCGAGCGUUAAUCGGAAUUACUGUGCGUAAAGCGCAUGCAGGUGGUUUGUUAAGUCAGAUGUGAGAGCCCGGGGCUCAACCUCGGAAUUGCAUUUGAAACUGGCAGACUAGAGUACUGUAGAGGACUGUAGAAUUUCAGGUGUAGCGGUGAAAUGCGUAGAGAUCUGAAGGAAUACCGGUGGCGAAGGCGGCCGCCUGGACAGAUACUGACACUCAGAUGCGAAAGCGUGGUGAGCAAACAGGAUUAGAUA
rnacentral:rRNA from 1 species